rnacentral:rRNA from 1 species
GAUGAACGCUGGCGGCGUGCCUAAUACAUGCAAGUCGAGCGAACAGACGAGGAGCUUGCUCCUCUGACGUUAGCGGCGGACGGGUGAGUAACACGUGUAUAACCUACCUAUAAGACUGGGAUAACUUCGGGAAACCGGAGCUAAUACCGGAUAACAUGUUGAACCGUAGGGUUUAACAGUGAAAGACGGCCUUGCUGUCUCUUAUAGAUGGUUCCGCGCCGCAUUAGCUAGUUGGUAAGGUAACGGCUUACCAAGGCAACGAUGCGUAGCCGAACUGAGGGAGUGGUCGGCCACACUGGAACUGAGACACGGUCCAGACUCCUACGGGAGGCAGCAGUAGGGUAUCUGCCGCAAUAGGCGAAAGCCUGGCGGAGCAACGCGGAGUGAGUGAAGAAGGUCUUCGGAUCGUAAAACUCUGUUAUUAGGGAAGAACAAAUGUGGAAGUAACUAUGCACGUCUUGACGGUACCUAAUCAGAAAGCCACGGCUAACUACGUG